GCCUACACUCUACUCCCAAAGCAAGCAUCAUCCUUCGAGUUUCAAUUACUCAUUCAUGACUUUGGAAUUCAGUACUGUAAAUUCGCAAGGGGAAAAUGAUGUCCAUAGAUUUGAUUUUGAAGCCGUCGUGCGGUGCCUGUGGAUCGCCGACGGAGCUCUACGGCAGCACCUGCAAGCACCUCCCUCUGCCUUAGCUGCGGUAAAUCUAUGGCCGAGAAACGUUCCAAGUGCCACGGUGCGGCACCCCUAUCACACGCCUCAUUAGGGAAUAUAUUGUACAUGCCAGUGCUAGCAACGACAAAAAUUUCUUUAUUGCGAGAUUUGCCUCGGGAUUACCAAAUAUUAAAAGGAAGAAUGAGAAUAAAUGGUUGUUGCAGAAAGAAGGUUUGCAGGGGCGCCAACUGACUGAUAGUUUGAGGGAGAAGUUUAAGAAUAAACCUUGGCUACUGGAAGAUGAAACUGGCCAGUUUCAGUUCCAUGGUCACCUUGAGGGCACACAGACAGCCACAUAUUAUCUUCUAAUGCUUCAAGGAAAGGAAUUUGUUGCUAUUCCUACUGGUUCCUGGUACAAUUUUAACAAAAAGUGGCACAAUAAAAGCAACUCACUUUGGAGGAAGCUGACGAAAAGAUGAACAAUAGAAGGAAAACAGCUGAUGGCUACCAGAGAUGGAUGAUGAAAGCAGCAAACAAUGGAGCUGCAGCCUUUGGUGAAGUCGAGAAGUUUGACAAUUGGGAAGGUGCAGCUGGUGGUGGGAGGGGGCGCAAAAAAACUACAGGGGAUAACGAUGAUGCCAAUGCUUCAAAUAGAGGAGAAGAAGAUGAAGAUGAAGCUACAAAAUGUCGGCCCAUUUCAAGCCCAAUCUAGGCCCGAAUUCUAAAAAACUUAGCUAAAGCUACAUAUUCCCCAAGAACUCUAUCAUCAACUCUGUGCUCCAACAACUCUGGCACGACCAACAACAUAAAUGUAAUCACAUUAAAUACAAAUACCAAAGGCCCAACUACUCUUUGAGGCAGUCUCAAUGCAGUACUCCCUUCGUCCCACAGAAGAUGUCACACUUUCCUUUUUAGUUUGUUCCACAAAAGA